rnacentral:rRNA from 1 species
CCUACGGGAGGCAGCAGUGAGGAAUAUUGGUCAAUGGGCGUGAGCCUGAACCAGCCAAGUCGCGUGAGGGAAGACGGUCCUAUGGAUCGUAAACCUCUUUUGUCAGGGAACAAAGUGCGGUACGUGUACCGUUUCGUGUGUACCUUAUGAAUAAGCAUCGGCUAACUCCGUGCCAGCAGCCGCGGUAAUACGGAGGAUUCGAGUGUUAUCCGGAUUUAUUGGGUUUAAAGGGUGCGCAGGCGGCCUAUUAAGUCAGCGGUGAAAGUUUCGGGCUCAACCCCAGACGAGCCGUUGAAACUGGGAGGCUAGAGUGGGUGAGAAGCAGGCGGAAUGCGUGGUGUAGCGGUGAAAUGCAUAGAUAUCACGCAGAACCCCGAUUGCGAAGGCAGCAUGCCGGGGCAUGACUGACGCUGAGGCACGAAAGCGUGGGGAUCGAACAGGAUUAGAUACCCGAGUAGUC